GCCCCGGUAAACGGCGGCCGUAACUAUAACGGUCCUAAGGUAGCGAAAUUCCUUGUCGGGUAAGUUCCGACCUGCACGAAUGGCGUAAUGAUGGCCAGGCUGUCUCCACCCGAGACUCAGUGAAAUUGAACUCGCUGUGAAGAUGCAGUGUACCCGCGGCAAGACGGAAAGACCCCGUGAACCUUUACUAUAGCUUGACACUGAACAUUGAGCCUUGAUGUGUAGGAUAGGUGGGAGGCUUUGAAGUGUGGACGCCAGUCUGCAUGGAGCCGACCUUGAAAUACCACCCUUUAAUGUUUGAUGUUCUAACGUUGGCCCGUAAUCCGGGUUGCGGACAGUGUCUGGUGGGUAGUUUGACUGGGGCGGUCUCCUCCUAAAGAGUAACGGAGGAGCACGAAGGUUGGCUAAUCCUGGUCGGACAUCAGGAGGUUAGUGCAAUGGCAUAAGCCAGCUUGACUGCGAGCGUGACGGCGCGAGCAGGUGCGAAAGCAGGUCAUAGUGAUCCGGUGGUUCUGAAUGGAAGGGCCAUCGCUCAACGGAUAAAAGGUACUCCGGGGAUAACAGGCUGAUACCGCCCAAGAGUUCAUAUCGACGGCGGUGUUUGGCACCUCGAUGUCGGCUCAUCACAUCCUGGGGCUGAAGUAGGUCCCAAGGGUAUGGCUGUUCGCCAUUUAAAGUGGUACGCGAGCUGGGUUUAGAACGUCGUGAGACAGUUCGGUCCCUAUCUGCCGUGGGCGCUGGAGAACUGAGGGGGGCUGCUCCUAGUACGAGAGGACCGGAGUGGACGCAUCACUGGUGUUCGGGUUGUCAUGCCAAUGGCACUGCCCGGUAGCUAAAUGCGGAAGAGAUAAGUGCUGAAAGCAUCUAAGCACGAAACUUGCCCCGAGAUGAGUUCUCCCUGAGACUUAGAGUCUCCUGAAGGAACGUUGAAG
rnacentral:rRNA from 1 species